CAUGCUUAACACAUGCAAGCCGAACGGUAAGUGGUAUUUCCAAUGGGGGAUGGGUGAGUAACGUGUAAGAACCUGUUCUUGAGAGGGAAACAACAACGGGAGAAGGCUGUUAAUACCCUGAUAAGGAAAAGGAGAUCCGCAUUGAUAAGUAAAUAGUUUAAGAAAGCGAUAAUUAGUGGCUGGUCCGAGAGGAUGAUUAGCCACACUAGGACUGAGACAUAGCCCAAACUCUUAUGGGACAAAGGUGUGAAGGAAUGGCCAAUGUGCGUAAAACAUAAACAAAG
rnacentral:ncRNA from 1 species